rnacentral:snRNA from 16 species
GCACACACAGUGGGGCAAGCGCUUCAUCCAGUGAGGUCUUUACCGAGGAGAAGCUUAUUGCUGAUUGCAAAUUACCUAUAUUGCACGUCCUUGCUGUCUCUUUGAUAGCCUGGCAAUUUUUGGCACCCAUCCUCUUGC